rnacentral:rRNA from 2 species
CUUGGCGACCAUAGCGUUUUGGACCCACCUGAACCCAUUCCGAACUCAGAAGUGAAACGAAAUAGCGUCGAUGGUAGUGUGGGGCUUCCCCAUGUGAGAGUAGAACAUCGCCAGGC